AGUGAACGCUGGCGGUAGGCCUAACACAUGCAAGUCGAACGGCAGCACAGUAAGAGCUUGCUCUUACGGGUGGCGAGUGGCGGACGGGUGAGGAGUACAUCGGAAUCUACUUUUUCGUGGGGGAUAACGUAGGGAAACUUACGCUAAUACCGCAUACGACCUACGGGUGAAAGCAGGGGAUCUUCGGACCUUGCGCGAUUGAAUGAGCCGAUGUCGGAUUAGCUAGUUGGCGGGGUAAAGGCCCACCAAGGCGACGAUCCGUAGCUGGUCUGAGAGGAUGAUCAGCCACACUGGACCUGAGACACGGUCCAGACUCCUACGGGAGGCAGCAGUGGGGAAUAUUGGACAAGGGGCGCAAGCCUGAUCCAGCCAUACCGCGUGGGUGAAGAAGGCCUUCGGGUUGUAAAGCCCUUUUGUUGGGAAAGAAAAGCAGCAGGUUAAUACCCCGCUGUUCUGACGGUACCCAAAGAAUAAGCACCGGCUAACUUCGU
rnacentral:rRNA from 1 species